GACCGGGUGAUCCAGUCGGCAACGGCACCGUCUUCAGAAGGCAGUGCCCAUUCGGAUGUGCGGGUUCAAAUUCCGCCCCGGCCG
rnacentral:tRNA from 1 species